rnacentral:rRNA from 1 species
ACAAGUACCGUGAGGGAAAGUUGAAAAGUAUUUUGAAAAGAGAGUGCAAGAGAACGUGAAACCGAUGUAGUGGAAGCGAAUGGAGCCGACGUAUCUGGCGAGUAUUCAGCCGUUCAGCGUGGUGAUUGCCUGUGUUCACAUUCCGCAAGGUUGUGUCGUGGGUACUGUUGCUUUGUUGUGCGGUGCAUUUGCUCGCGGAGUGCGCCGAGUUGUGCGGUGUUGUCCACCGAAGCGUGCUGAGAGGACAGGUCUUCGGCUCUGAAACCUCGGCGCGUCUAGGUGGGUUGACGCUGCGCAGCUAUGUGGAGUUGUGGGUUUUUCGUGCCUGGUCGUGCUGGCUUUGCCGGUUUGUGUAGUACGCGUGCGUGCUGCGCAUAUGGGCUUGGUCGGUGCGGUUGGGUGCUCUGCACUCCUCUCGGUGUAUAGUCGGUGACCCAUUCGACCCGUCUUGAAACACGGACCAAGGAGUUUAUGGUAUACGCGAGUCAUUGGGUUGUGAAACCUACAGGCGCAAUGAAAGUGAGACUUUACUAGUUUUAAUGUGAUCGGUGGUUGUUUCGACGGCCGCCGAGCAACAUUGCCCCGUUUCGAGCACUUGUGCUGUUGCGGAGGUUGAGCGUAUGCUAUGAGACCCGAAAGAUGGUGAACUAUGCCUGAACAGGAUGAAGCCAGAGGAAACUCUGGUGGAAGUCCGAAGCGGUUCUGACGUGCAAAUCGAUCGUCUGAUUUUGGUAUAGGGGCGCAAGACUAAUCGAACCAUCUAGUAGCUGGUUCCCUUCGCAA